AUGAAGAGAGCUUCCGUUUCUUCUUCCAUGGCAUCAGCCAUGGCAAUCCUAGUUAUCUUAUUCAUAUGCUACUCCCUGCCAUGCUCAGCCGCCGACCAAGCUCAUGCGGAAGGAAACCAUCGUGGAGGGAGUCCUCCGGCGCCGCGCGCAGCGCCGGGCACACAUAAUCGAGGCCGUGGACACUCCAGCACCGCACCGCCAGUGCCGCACCGCAAGAACUUACAGCUACAACAGGCUGUUUUCAAGUGGCACCGAUGCCAUAAAUUAUCUUGCACAAGUCUUGCAAACUUCGUCACUUUUAAUUUUUGCCAGUGCUCUGUGGUGCCAGUGCCACUGAUAUGUUCCUAG
rnacentral:rRNA from 1 species